UAACGACGUGGGUAACCGUGCCUUGUACUGGGGGAGUAACAACUUAGAAAUAAGGUGCUAAUACCGCAUAAUCAUAUUUUUUCGUCAUGAGGAAGUAUGGAAAACUACCGGUGGUACAAGAUGGACCCGCGUCUGAUUAGUUAGUUGGUGGGGUAAUGGCCUACCAAGACGACGAUCAGUAGCCGGCCUGAGAGGGUGACCGGCCACAUUGGGACUGAGACACGGCCCAAACUCCUACGGGAGGCAGCAGUGGGGAAUAUUGCACAAUGGGGGAAACCCUGAUUGCAGCGACGCCGCGUGAGUGAAGAAGUAUUUCGGUACGUAAAGCUCUAUCAGCAGGGAAGAAAAUGACGGUACCUGACUAAGAAGCCCCGGCUAACUACGUGCCAGCAGCAGC
rnacentral:rRNA from 1 species